AUGGACAAAUAUACAACACAUUGAUGAUCCCAAGAAACAUUUUAUACUUAUUUUAAAAUUUAGGAAGUGUGUGUUUCAAACUAUAAAUUCUUAUAAGCUAAGAUAAAAUAUCUAUAAGUAAAACGUGAAAUUUAUUAAUUACAAGUGAUACAAGCUUAUUCUAUUUGAAACAUACAAAUGGGAGAAAAUAUUGUUAAGGUUUUUAAACUUGUUUAUGCUAUGGUUAUUUUUAUUUUUCUAUUUGUUGAUGCAAAGGAACGUUAUGAAACCGAUUAUCCAUGUACAAGACGUCAAGAUUGUCCCAAAACUUUGUGUACGCUUGGUUAUAGACGAUGGUGUGAACAUGGUUAUUGUGCAUGUAUUUAACUGUUUUGGUAUAGCAUGAUAUUAGAUAUUAUGUUGGCAUUCAAUGAAUCACAAAUAAAAUGAUCACAAAUAAAAUGAAAUACAACAUCAAUGACUAUUUUAUCA